rnacentral:rRNA from 2 species
GAAACCAACAGGGAUUGCCCUAGUAACGGCGAGUGAAGCGGCAAGAGCUCAAAUUUGAAAUCUGGCCCCUCCGGGGUCCGAGUUGUAAUUUGCAGAGGAUGCUUCGGGUGCGGUCCCCAUCUAAGUGCCCUGGAACGGGCCGUCAUAGAGGGUGAGAAUCCCGUCUGGGAUGGGUGGCCGUGCCCGUGUGAAGCUCCUUCGACGAGUCGGGUUGUUUGGGAAUGCAGCUCUAAAUGGGUGGUAAAUUUCAUCUAAAGCUAAAUAUUGGCCGGAGACCGAUAGCGCACAAGUAGAGUGAUCGAAAGAUGAAAAGCACUUUGAAAAGAGAGUUAAACAGCACGUGAAAUUGUUGAAAGGGAAGCGCUUGCGACCAGACUCGCCCGCGGGGGUUCAGCCGGUACUCGUACCGGUGUAUUCCCCCGUGGGCGGGCCAGCGUCGGUUUGGGCGGCCGGUCAAAGGCCCCCGGAAUGUGUCGCCUCUCGGGGCGUCUUAUAGCCGGGGGUGCAAUGCGGCCAGCCUGGACCGAGGAACGCGCUUCGGCACGGACGCUGGCGUAAUGGUCGUAAGCGGCCCGUCUUGAAACACGGACCAAGGAGUCUAACAUCUACGCGAGUGUUCGGGUGUCAAACCCGUCCGCGCAGUGAAAGCGAACGGAGGUGGGAACCUUUCGGGGUGCACCAUCGACCGAUCCUGAUGUCUUCGGAUGGAUUUGAGUAAGAGCGUAGCUGUUGGGACCCGAAAGAUGGUGAACUAUGCCUGAAUAGGGCGAAGCCAGAGGAAACUCUGGUGGAGGCUCGCAGCGGUUCUGACGUGCAAAUCGAUCGUCAAAUUUGGGUAUAGGGGCGAAAGACUAAUCGAACCAUCUGGUAGCUGGUUCCUGCCGAAGUUUCCCUCAGGAUAGCAGUAACGUUUUCAGUUUUAUGAGGUAAAGCGAAUGAUUA